UAAAAUAUAAUAUAAAUUUAACCAUAAUAUUAUCGUUAAUUCUUUUUAAUUAAUUUUAAUAUUAUAAUAAAUUAUUAGCUAAAUUACAAAAAUAUUUAUUACUAACUAUAAUUGAAAAUAAAAUAUAAUUAAACUUAAAAUUAUGAAAAGUAUGUCAAAUCAGCGAAUUCACUUUUUAAAUAAUAUUGAUUUGCUAAUAUUAUAUAUAUUCUGCUAAUAUUUACCAUUUUGCUAAUUUUAAGCAAAUUCACUUCUCAAAUCAGCAAAUUAACACUAUAUAUAUUAUUUACUAUUUAUUAUUUUUUGCAAAUAUUUUUGCUCAUAUUUGCCAAAUACUGAUUUGACUAUUAAUCAAUCAAUCAAUUAUUGAUAAACAUUUAGUGUUGAAAAUAGAAAAUAUUGUUUAAUCGGUACAAUCUAUACUAUUUUGUAAUUUUUUAUAUAAAUUUUCAAGGAGAAAACAAGUUCCGUUCUUACGUAGUUUAAAAUAAAUAAAUAAAUAAUGUAACUGCAAAAUCUCUUCCUACCUUUUAACUCCUAAGUUUUCUCAAUCACUUCCACCGCGUUCAUUGUUGAACCAUAGCAUUUGCAACUUCCAAAUGGUUUCAUUUUCUACGUAACUUUUGGCAACUAAUUUGUUUCUUUUAUUUUUUUCUCCCACUAUUUUUGUCUAUGAUUUCUUCUUCUUCAUCAAUUUGCUUUUCUGUGUUUUGGAGUGUAGUAAAAGAAAAAAUAUACAGGUUUAUGACAACUUUUUUUUGACUAAAAGAGUAUUUUUUUUAAUUCAGAUGAUAUAUUCUCUUCUUUACCUGAUAUUCAUUUUUUGCAUGAUUUAUUUUGAAGAUGGCAGUUGAGGUCCUCCUAUUUUAGAGCUUAGUUCUUCAGAAAAGAAAUGAAAAUUAAAGCAUCGUCGAUAAAUGAGGUAAUAGUUGGUACAUACGAUUCUAUUUUAUAAUAAUUUUUGAGUUAGAUUAUUCUUUUGUUUUUAUUUACAAAAAGAGGAUUAAUUAUUUUACAAACUUUAGCUUUUUGUUUUUUCCAUUGGCUUAUUCUUAAGAUAACAAGGGGAUCUCGCUGCUUAUAUGGAUAUAUAAUCAUAUAAGACAUCAUACAGACCUUAACUCAUUUUGAAAUAUGAAUGGUAAAAUAAAGACUAUGUCAUCUUACCAUUGAGGAACAUGAAGAUGAUAAGUGAUGCUGAGAGAAAGAGGUUAAUAUCAAUGGUUAGAAGAGGUAUUUUAGUCCAGGUUCUAAAACGCGGCCUACAGUUUCCUAGGUACAAUAUAUAUAUAUAUAUAUAUAUAUAUAUAUAUAUAUAUAUAUAUAUAUAUAUAUAUAUAUAUAUAUAUUUUUUGUCAAACCCUAGGUACAAUAUAUAUAAUUUCUGGAUUUUAGUAGAAAAAAAGAAGAUUGCCGAAAACGUGUGGAACUGUGGAUGACAAGACAUUCAAGAAUUAGCUCAAUAACAUAAUUAAAAAUCAAUUGUGUGUAUUUCAUUCUAUUUCCAUAAAAAAAAGCAAAUGUUGUAUAACUAAAAUGGGUCUAUUCCCCAUCUAUGAAAUUAAUACUUUUGUUUUA